GACGAACGCUGGCGGCGUGCUUAACACAUGCAAGUCGAACGGAAAGGCCCUGCUUUUGUGGGGUGCUCGAGUGGCGAACGGGUGAGUAACACGUGAGUAACCUGCCCUUGACUUUGGGAUAACUUCAGGAAACUGGGGCUAAUACCGGAUAGGAUCUCCUGCUGCAUGGUGUGGGUUGGAAAGUUUCGGCGGUUGGGGAUGGACUCGCGGCUUAUCAGCUUGUUGGGGGGGUAGUGGCUUACCACGGCUUUGACGGGUAGCCGGCCUGAGAGGGGGGCCGGCCACAUUGGGACUGAGAUACGGCCCAGACUCCUACGGGAGGCAGCAGUGGGGAAUAUUGCACAAUGGGCGGAAGCCUGAUGCAGCAACGCCGCGUGCGGGAUGACGGCCUUCGGGUUGUAAACCGCUUUCGCCUGUGACGAAGCGUGAGUGACGGUAAUGGGUAAAGAAGCACCGGCUAACUACGUG
rnacentral:rRNA from 1 species